GGCAAGAUGGCCGAGCGGUCUAAGGCGCUACGUCAAGGUUUAACAAGAAAACCUUAAUUUCGAGGUUUCCCUUGAAAAAAAAAAAAAAAAAAGAUCUCAGUAUCCGUGUUCCGAAAGGGCGCGGGUUGGAAUCUCCCACUCUUGUCA